rnacentral:lncRNA from 1 species
GAAUUCUUAAUAAGAGAUUAUUUAGGAGUUUGUUUUCUUCACUACUUUUGAAAACAAGAAACUUAUUUUCUUUUAAACAUAUUUUUUUUCAAUUAUUCUUUACUCAAAUUUGAAUUAGUUUUCAAUUAGGACUUUGGGAGUUUUAUUUUUCCGAAAACCAACAGGACCUAAACGUGGCUCGCUAGAAAUUUUAAAAAAUUCAUUUUUCUCACACAAGCCAAACAAAACUAGGGCACAAAGCACACAACAACCAAAACAAAACACCCUUCACUUAAUUUUAAUAAAAGUUUUAAAAUUCUACAUUUUUCUCAUUUCAUAAUAACAAUAAUUAAUAAAAAUCAUGUAAUACUUUAGAAAAAUUUUAAAUCCUUAUUUAAUUUAGUGUUUUUCUAAUAGCAAUCCAAAAUUAAAAAUUUUGGAGUGUUAUAUAGACUAGAAGUAUGCAAUCACAUGCAGUCCAUUUAGAUCCACUCAAAACUAUUUCACUCUUACACAAGGAGUGAAUACCAAAAACAUGUUUGUUAGGUUUUCAUCCACCAAAUAAAUGGUCCAAGUUAUCAUUAUCAUCUCUCAAAAUUAAUUGUAGAUGAGAUACAUGGGCUAUGCAAAAGUUAUUGAAGAAAAAAAUGGACAAGUGUUUGAAUAAUUAAAACAAUGGGUACUUUGAUGCCCACCUAAAAAAAGAAAGAAAAAGAAAGAGAGAGAGAGAGAGAGAGAGAGAGAGAGAGAGAGAGAAAGAAGAAUAAGAUAGCCCAUGUUUUCUUGCAAGUGUCUUCUAAGAGAGAUAAGUUUUUCAAAGGAGCAAUAUAUAAUUUGUUUUUCAUCACUUCCACUAUAUAUCCACUCCACCACAUCCACACACAUGCACAUCUUGAUUUGAUUGUACGACUUAUUUAUCUGGAUCCAUUGUUUCAGUUUAUCAUAAAUGCUUUGCAAGUAUGUAUGGCUGUCUCCACACCUAUAAGUUCCACAUAAGCUUUAUUAGUAGUAGGGUGAGAGAGAGAAGGCAUACCAUCAUUACUGCCUUAAGAAGAAUCCAAAAUACUAUAUAUCCCAAGAGACUAGAGAGAGUCAUGCAAAGGAAUCUCUGAGUUUUAUUUUGAAAAAUAUAUGAAAACUCCAGGUGAAACAAAGAAUAUGAGACAUAGUGCUUCACUAGAUUAUUAUGUCUUUCAAUUGCUCAAGGCCCCCA